GUGCCAGCAGCCGCGGUAAUACGUAGGCAGCGAGCGUUGUUCGGAAUUACUGGGCGUAAAGGGUGUGUAGGCGGUUCUCUAAGUUUGGUGUGAAAUCUCCCGGCUUAACCGGGAGGGUGCGCCGAAAACUGGGGGACUAGAGUGCGGGAAGGGAGAGUGGAAUUCCUGGUGUAGCGGUGAAAUGCGUAGAUAUCAGGAGGAACACCGGUGGUGUAGACGGCUCUCUGGACCGUAACUGACGCUGAGACACGAAAGCGUGGGUAGCAAACAGGAUUAGAUACCCCUGUAGUCC
rnacentral:rRNA from 1 species